GAGAGUCGCAAGAAGAGCAAAUGGUUUAAGGAAUUUUUUGAGAGAAUGGACGCCUUGAAUGCAGAGGAGAUUGAUCAAACCCUGUGGCACUGUCCAGCAUGCCAAGGUGGUCCAGGUGCCAUCAAAUGGUACAGAAGCAUUAGUGACCUGAUAGCACAUUCCAAAAAGAUUGGAUCGAGAAGGGUGAAGUUACAUCAAACCAGUUCCAGGUCAGUGUUUUUUACUUAUUUAUGACAGAUGGAAAAAUACAUAUUUUAACUAAUAUCUGAAACAUUGGUUCUCCAGCAACGAAUUUCAUGCAAAAACCAGUUCCUGGGGUGAAGUCAGUCCUCUUAUUGGCACUGGUAAUACUGAAGAUCCUAAGGGUAAAGGCAUAGCCAUGGAUGAUGACUGGUUGCUGGUCUCUAAAUUGAAAUCCCAAAGCAGGGGUGGAAACAGUGCUGACAAACAGCGGGUUAAACUCGGGCAUCCUAAUCAUUUAAAGGGUUCAAAAGAUGACGACACAAAUGCUGUUCACGACGAUGAUUGCGAUUCCUUGGAUGAUGAGGAUGACUUUGAUUCCGAUGAUAGUCAAAAGAGCCAAGAGAGUCGCAAGAAGAGCAAAUGGUUUAAGGAAUUUUUUGAGAGAAUGGACGCCUUGAAUGCAGAGGAGAUUGAUCAAACCCUGUGGCACUGUCCAGCAUGCCAAGGUGGUCCAGGUGCCAUCAAAUGGUACAGAAGCAUUAGUGACCUGAUAGCACAUUCCAAAAAGAUUGGAUCGAGAAGGGUGAAGUUACAUCAAGAGUUCGCGAUGCUUCUAGAAGGGGAGCUGUGCAUUAGGGGAACCUCGGUUUCUCCUCCUGCUGACCCAAUUGUUGGUACCUGGAAAGGUUUAAA
rnacentral:lncRNA from 1 species